GGGCGAUUAGCUCAGCUGGCCAGAGCGUCUCGUUUACACCGAGAAGGCCGGGGGUUCGAGUCCCUCAUCGCCCACCA
rnacentral:tRNA from 1 species